rnacentral:rRNA from 3 species
ACCCCUGUGAACAUACCACUUGUUGCCUCGGCGGAUCAGCCCGCUCCCGGUAAAACGGGACGGCCCGCCAGAGGACCCCUAAACUCUGUUUCUAUAUGUAACUUCUGAGUAAAACCAUAAAUAAAUCAAAACUUUCAACAACGGAUCUCUUGGUUCUGGCAUCGAUGAAGAACGCAGCAAAAUGCGAUAAGUAAUGUGAAUUGCAGAAUUCAGUGAAUCAUCGAAUCUUUGAACGCACAUUGCGCCCGCCAGUAUUCUGGCGGGCAUGCCUGUUCGAGCGUCAUUUCAACCCUCAAGCACAGCUUGGUGUUGGGACUCGCGUUAAUUCGCGUUCCUCAAAUUGAUUGGCGGUCACGUCGAGCUUCCAUAGCGUAGUAGUAAAACCCUCGUUACUGGUAAUCGUCGCGGCCACGCCGUUAAACCCCAACUUCUGAAUGUUGACCUCGGAUCAGGUAGGAAUACCCGCUGAACUUAAGCAUA